UCCGGGAUCGUCUAACGGCAGGACGGCAGACUCUGGAUCUGUCUAUCUUGGUUCGAAUCCAAGUCCCGGAA
rnacentral:tRNA from 1 species